UACGUAGGGGGCAAGCGUUGUCCGGAUUUAUUGGGCGUAAAGAGCGCGCAGGCGGUCGUUCAAGUCGCGUGUGAAAGCCCCCGGCUCAACUGGGGAGGGUCACGCGAUACUGAUCGACUCGAAGGCAGGAGAGGGUAGUGGAAUUCCCGGUGUAGUGGUGAAAUGCGUAGAUAUCGGGAGGAACACCAGUGGCGAAGGCGACUACCUGGCCUGUUCUUGACGCUGAGGCGCGAAAGCGUGGGGAGCGAACAGG
rnacentral:rRNA from 1 species